UCCCGUUGCAUGUGCGGGCAAUCACAUGCACCUCCCUGUUGGACCUGGCCGGGCUUUUUGCCCGGCCUUUUUU
rfam:Citreicella sp. SE45 genomic scaffold scf_1113211290436, whole genome shotgun sequence.